CGAACGGGUGAGUAACACGUGAGUAACCUGCCCACAACUUUGGGAUAACGCUAGGAAACUGGUGCUAAUACUGGAUAUGUGCUCCUGCUGCAUGGUGGGGGUUGGAAAGCUCCGGCGGUUGUGGAUGGACUCGCGGCCUAUCAGCUUGUUGGUGGGGUAAUGGCCUACCAAGGCGGCGACGGGUAGCCGGCCUGAGAGGGUGUACGGCCACAUUGGGACUGAGAUACGGCCCAG
rnacentral:rRNA from 1 species